GACGAACGCUGGCGGCGUGCUUAACACAUGCAAGUCGAACGGAAAGGCCCUGCUUGCAGGGUACUCGAGUGGCGAACGGGUGAGUAACACGUGAGUGAUCUGCCCUGCACUUCGGGAUAAGCCUGGGAAACUGGGUCUAAUACCGGAUAGGAGCCAUUUUUAGUGUGAUGGUUGGAAAGUUUUUUCGGUGUAGGAUGAGCUCGCGGCCUAUCAGCUUGUUGGUGGGGUAAUGGCCUACCAAGGCGGCGACGGGUAGCCGGCCUGAGAGGGUGGACGGCCACAUUGGGACUGAGAGACGGCCCAGACUCCUACGGGAGGCAGCAGUGGGGAAUAUUGCACAAUGGGCGCAAGCCUGAUGCAGCGACGCCGCGUGGGGGAUGACGGCCUGCGGGUUGUAAACUCCUUUCGCUAGGGACGAAGCUUUUUGUGACGGUACCUAGAGAAGAAGCACCGGCUAACUACGUG
rnacentral:rRNA from 1 species